GACGAACGCUGGCGGCGGGCUUAACACAUGCAAGUCGAACGGAAAGGCCCUGCUUGUGUGGGGUGCUCGAGUGGCGAACGGGUGAGUAACACGUGAGUAACCUGCCCUUGACUUUGGGAUAACUUCAGGAAACUGGGGCUAAUACCGUAUAGGAGCUCCUGCUGCAUGGUGGGGGUGGGAAAGUUUCGGCGGUUGGGGAUGGACUCGCGGCUUAUCAGCUUGUUGGUGGGGUAGUGGCUUACCAAGGCUUUGACGGGUAGCCGGCCUGAGAGGGUGACCGGCCACCUUGGGACUGAGAUAAGGCACAGACUGCUACGGUAGGCAGCAGUGGGGAAUAUUGAACAAUGGGCGGAAGCCUGAUGAAGAAACGCCGCGUGCGGGAUGACGGCCUUCGUGUUGUAAACCGCUUUCGCCUGUGACGAAGCGUGAGUGACGGUAAUGGGUAAAGAAGCACCGGCUAAAUACGUG
rnacentral:rRNA from 1 species